GAUGAACGCUGGCGGCGUGCCUAAUACAUGCAAGUCGAGCGAACGGACGAGAAGCUUGCUUCUCUGAUGUUAGCGGCGGACGGGUGAGUAACACGUGGAUAACCUACCUAUAAGACUGGGAUAACUUCGGGAAACCGGAGCUAAUACCGGAUGAUAUUUUGAACCGCAUGGUUCAAGAGUGAAAGACGGUCUUGCUGUCACUUAUAGAUGGAUCCGCGCUGCAUUAGCUAGUUGGUAAGGUAACGGCUUACCAAGGCAACGAUGCAUAGCCGACCUGAGAGGGUGAUCGGCCACACUGGAACUGAGACACGGUCCAGACUCCUACGGGAGGCAGCAGUAGGGAAUCUUCCGCAAAGGGCGAAAGCCUGACGGAGCAACGCCGCGUGAGUGAUGAAGGUCUUCGGAUCGUAAAACUCUGUUAUUAGGGAAGAACAUAUGUGUAAGUAACUGUGCACAUCUUGACGGUACCUAAUCAGAAAGCCACGGCUAACUACGUG
rnacentral:rRNA from 1 species